UCAUACCCAAAUUGCCCUCCCCAUUCAGCCAUGUCAGCGUCCACAUCUGAUAAACCAAAAAAACAAAGAACCAAAAAACAAUACAUCCCUCCUCACAUUUCUCUCUCUGUCUUAACUUUCUCUCCACCGGCAGUGAACUCAAAGACUCCAUCUGUUCAUCUCCCUCUCAAAACCCACCAUUUCUAAAACCCUAACCUCCGUCUAGUCUUCCUCUCAAUCUGAAAAACCUAAAUCUCGUGAAGUCUAACCUGUUAUUUUCUUAUAUAUCCCCGAAAUCUCUAGAAUCCCGGGAAACCAACCCUAAUCUCUUCUUCGUUAGUCAACAACGUAGAUCGGAGAAUGUGGGAAAACUGUAGUUGCUCUCUUCUUCUCUGUCUAAAGAUCCAGCUCCGAAUCUCUGUCUUCAUCACCAUCAUCAGAUGGCAAUAUUAUCUCGUAUGUACCCCUGCAAGGAAUGUGCAGAUCACUUCAAAGAAGUUCUAAGGUACAAUAUCCCUACCCCAUCCCCCCAUCCAACAUCCCAAACCCCCACUCAACCCCCUUACCUACACAAACACCCACCAAACUGGUUGCAGUGCCCCACAGCCUUGUGGUUAAAAGUGUUGGUGUAACUAGCAAAAUUUGACAUACAGGGUAAUUUCAAGCUCAACUGAUCAUGCAUUCAUAUCUUCAGUUAUCCAUCUUAUUCUCUGUGGUAAGCCCCUCCAAUGGUGUAGGAAUAUUGUGAAAUGGCUAUUUCCUGGUAACAGAAUUCUUGACCCCAUAUUGGUGGCAUGUCUUUGUGUUCCUACUUCCUGCUACUAUAUUCAAGUUGAGCCAUUUUCAGAACACUAACAGAAGAAAUGGCCGAGGGAGGAGGCACUGCAUGGCAUAUUGAAAUGAAGUUCUUCCUAUUUUUGUUCGUUGUUGCCAUAGAAUUAGAGGCUGCAUUUGUCAUUUAGAAUGGAUUCAAUGCAGAAUAAAUUGUGUCACUAGCAGAAGUGAGGUUGAAAGGUGUUGGUAACCUUGUUACUUAAAUCCUAAUAUAAUCCUAUAAAUGACGCAUUUUACCAAAUCAA